UGAAUACGAGACGCUAAGGCGUCGAAGUAGUGUAUGUCAUACUUCCAAGAAAAGCUUGCACUGUCAUAGAUAAAAAACGCCUGUACCAUAACCGACACAGGUGGGUAGGUAGAGUAUACUAAGGGGCGCGAGAUAACUCUCUCUAAGGAACUCGGCAAAAUAACUCCGUAACUUCGGGAGAAGGAGUGCCUUAUUAUUAAGGCUGCAAUAACAAGAUCCAAGCAACUGUUUAUCAAAAACACAGGUCUCCGCUAAGUCGUAAGACGAUGUAUGGGGGCUGACGCCUGCCCAGUGCCAGAAGGUUAAAGAAGUUGGUUAGCAUUUGCGAAGCUGAUAACUGAAGCCCUGGUGAACGGCGGCCGUAACUAUAACGGUCCUAAGGUAGCGAAAUUCCUUGUCGGGUAAGUUCCGACCCGCACGAAAGGCGUAAUGAUUUGGAUACUGUCUCGGAGAGGGGCUCGGUGAAAUAGACUUGUCUGUGAAGAUGCGGACUACCUGCACCAGGACAGAAAGACCCUAUGAAGCUUUACUGUAACUUGAAAUUGAAAUUGGACUUUAUUCGCGCAGCAUAGGUGGGAGGCGUUGAUUAUAAUCUUGUGGGAUUAUUGGAGCCAUCAGUGAGAUACCACUCUUGUAAUGUUAGAUUUCUAACUUUGAAUCAUUAUCUGGUCAAAGAACAGUUUCAGGCGGGCAGUUUGACUGGGGCGGUCGCCUCCUAAACGGUAACGGAGGCGUACAAAGGUUUCCUCUGAACGGUUAGAAAUCGUAUCUAGAGUGUAAAGGCAUAAGGAAGCUUGACUGUGAGACCUACAAGUCGAGCAGGGACGAAAGUCGGUCUUAGUGAUCUGACGGUACUGAGUGGAAAGGCCGUCACUCAACGGAUAAAAGUUACUCUAAGGAUAACAGGCUGAUCUCCCCCAAGAGUUCACAUCGACGGGGAGGUUUGGCACCUCGAUGUCGGCUCAUCGCAUCCUGGGGCGGUAGUACGUCCCAAGGGUUGGGCUGUUCGCCCAUGAAAGCGGUACGCGAGCUGGGUUCAGAACGUCGUGAGACAGUUCGGUCCAUAUCCGGUGUAGGCGUUAGAAUAUUGAGAGGAGCCUUCUUUAGUACGAGAGGACCGAGAAGGACAUACCUCUGGUGUACCAGUUAUCGUGCCAACGGUAAACGCUGGGUAGCUAUGUAUGGAGUGGAUAACCGCUGAAAGCAUCUAAGUGGGAAGCCCACCUC
rnacentral:rRNA from 1 species